rnacentral:rRNA from 1 species
GUCUAUGGCCAUGCUACCCUGAACACACCAAUCCCAUCUGAUCUCUGAAGCUAAGCCGGGUCGGGCCUGGUUAGUACUUGGAUGGGAGACCACCUAGAAAGACCAAGUAUUAUAGGCG